rnacentral:rRNA from 1 species
CCUUUACAAUGCACGAAAGUGUGAUAGGGGAACUCAAAGUGCUUAUGUUUUUCAUAGGCUUUUGCCAAGUCAAAACUGCUUGGCGAAUAAGUGGUGGGUAAGACUGGUGCCAGCCGCCGCGGUAACACCAGCGCCACAAGUGGGAGCCAGUUUUAUUGGGCCUAAAGCGUCCGUAGCAGGCUAAGUAAAUUACUUGUGAAAUCGGAUAGCUUAACUAUUCGGACUGCAGGUAAGACUGCUUAGCUAGAGACCGGGAGACGUUGGAGGUAUUCAAGGGGGAGCGGUAAAAUGCGAGAAUCCCUUGAGGACCACCUGUUGCGAAGGCGUCCAACAAUAACGGGUCUGACUGUGAGGGACUAAAGCUAGGGGAGCGAACCGGAUUAGAUACCCGGGUAGU